rnacentral:rRNA from 1 species
GGUGAACGUUGGCGGUGCGUCUAAUACAUGCAAGUCGAGCGAGGCUUCGAGCCGAGCGGCAGACGGCUGAGUAACACGUUGGUAACUACCUCAAACUCAGGGAUAACACCGAGAAAUCGGUGCUAAUACCGGAUGGUCCCGUAAGGGUAAAGUUUUUACGGUUUGAGAGGUGCCUGCGUCCUAUCAGGUAGUUGGUGAGGUAACGGCUCACCAAGCCUAUGACGGGUAACUGGUCUGAGAGGAUGACCAGUCAGAAGGAAACUGAGACACGGUUCCCACUUCUACGGAAGGCAGCAGUAAAGAAUCUUCCACAAUGGACGAAAGUCUGAUGGAGCGACACCGCGUGCAGGAUGAAGGCCCUUGGGUCGUAAACUGCUUUUUUGGGGGAAAAAUUCUGAUUGUACCCUAAGAAUAAGCACCGGCAAAUCACGUG